rnacentral:tRNA from 2 species
CACCGAGAAGCUUCUACAGCAUCAGCCUUUUAAGUUGAAGAGGAAACCAUUUCCUCGGUGA